rnacentral:lncRNA from 1 species
AGUCCUGAGCAUCUCCGCAUGGGGAAGACUCUGUGUGUGUGUGUGUGUGUGUGUGAGAGAGAGAGAGAGAGAGCGCGCGCAAGAGAGAGCUGGAGGAGAAGGAGGGGUCUCUGUGCCCUCAGAACCAUGUUAGACAGGGCCCCCCUUCUGUGCUUUGAGGGAGGCUAACUUUGUGUAGGAGGCUGCCUUUUUCCAUCCGGGAAAGCUUCCUGGGGAGUGAUUUUUGGAUCGCAGUUAACAAGUGUGUAGUGGGCACUCUGGGAAGGAAAGAUGAACCGGCAUGUGUUAGGGCUGUACUAUGUUACAAACCUCCUCCAAACUUACUGGCUGAAAAGGACAGCCAUCUGUUGGUCACUGUUCUUCGGUUUGGCAGUUCAGUCAGAGCUCAGAAGGAUGGUUCGUGACUCAUCUCUGGUCUGCAACUGUUUGCGGUUGCUGGCUGUCGGGUCACAGAUGGCUUUGCUCCUGUCGCAGCUGUGCGAGGUUCUUUUCUUUCCACCGGGAGUGAAAGCAGAAGCAGCAGGGCUUCUAGGGUGGAGGGGUGGGGAGUCACGUGAUGCUGCUUCUGCUAUAUCCCGUGAUCCCAUAACUCUCAAAGUCACCCCAGAUCCAAGGAGGUGGGAAAAUAGACGCCACCUACUUAAGGUAGGAGCUGUGAAGAAUAUAUGGCCAUAUUGAACCCUCCAUAGGGCAAUUUCGAUGAGUAAGGCAACUUCCGGGAUGGAGCAAGGACGACUGAAUUCGAGGAGUUUUAAGGAAUCCUACUUCAUUUAACAAGGACUCCUAUAUAAAUGAGUAGCUUCAGAAGGAACCAACAUGAGAGACCCGAACACUAAAUACUUAGAACCAGGGCUUUAAGGGUUUUUCUGUGUAGCCCUGGCUAUCCUGGCUCUGUACAUCACACUCGCCAUAAAUUUGGAGAUCUGCCUGCUUUUGCCUCCUGGAUGCUGCCAUUAAAGGCAUGUACCCCUACCACUUGGCUUACAAACCUUUUAAAAAUUACAAUGAUUACUGUAUGUUAAUUGUACAAAUUAAUGGGACUUCACCACAAUGUUUCCAUGCAUGCAUUCAUUGUGACCUGAUCCUGUUCCCCCCCAUUUCCAUGCUCUGUCCCCUUCCUCUUUCUACCUGCUUCCCCGAGCCUCUUUCCCUUCCCUAAAGGUCUUACAUUUUCAGGUUCCUUAAAAAAAAUGACCAUCAUAAACUGUUCUAAUUUUUGAACAGUUUCCUACACACAUAUAAUUUUAGUCAUUUUACCCCUCUCCACCUCCUUUACUCUUCACUCACACCCUUCCCAAUACCCCCCCC